rnacentral:rRNA from 1 species
CCUACGGGGGGCAGCAGUGGGGAAUAUUGGGCAAUGGGCGCAAGCCUGACCCAGCAAAGCCGCGUGAAGGAAGAAGGCUUUAGGGUUGGAAACUUCUAUUGACAGGGAAGAGGAGAAGACGGUACAUGUCGAAUAAGACACGGCUAACGACGAGCCAGCAGCCGCGGUAAUACGUAGGUGGCAAGCGUUGUCCGGAUUUACUGGGUGUAAAGGGCGGGUAGAGGGGUUGACAAGUCAGAUGUGAAAGCCUGCGGCGUAACCGAAGAACUGCAUUUGAAACUGUUGAUCUUGAGUACUGGAGAGGCAGCCGGAAUUCCUGGUGUAGCGGUGCAAUGCUUAGAUAUUACGAGGAACUCCAGUUGCGAAGGCGGUCUGCUGGACUGCACCUGACGGUGAGGCUCGAAAGCGUGGGUAGCAAACAGGAUUAGAUACCCUAGUAGUC